GGGCCGGAAGCUCAUUUGGUAUGAGCGGUCCCCUCAUAAGGGAAUGGUAGACAGGUUCGAAUCCUUCACGGCCCACCA
rnacentral:tRNA from 1 species